rnacentral:rRNA from 1 species
UACGGGGGGGGCAAGCGUUGUUCGGAAUUACUGGGCGUAAAGGGUUUGUAGGGGGCUUGUUAAGUCAGACGUGAAAUCCCUCAGCUUAACUGGGGAACUGCGUCUGAUACUGGCGAGCUUGAGUGCAGGAGAGGAACGCGGAAUUCCAGGUGUAGCGGUGAAAUGCGUAGAUAUCUGGAGGAACACCGGUGGCGAAGGCGGCGUUCUGGACUGCAACUGACGCUGAGGCGCGAAAGCUAGGGGAGCAAACAGG